rnacentral:rRNA from 1 species
GUGACCUCAAAUCAGGUAGGACUACCCGCUGAACUUAAGCAUAUCAAUAAGCGGAGGAAAAGAAACUAACAAGGAUUCCCCUAGUAACUGCGAGUGAAGCGGGAAAAGCUCAAAUUUAAAAUCUGGCAGUCUUUGGCUGUCCGAGUUGUAAUCUAGAGAAGUGUUAUCCGCGCUGGACCGUGUACAAGUCUCYUGGAAUGGAGCGUCAUAGAGGGUGAGAAUCCCKUCUUUGACACGGACUACCAGGGCUUUGUGAUGCGCUCUCAAAGAGUCGAGUUGUUUGGGAAUGCAGCUCAAAAUGGGUGGUAAAUUCCAUCUAAAGCUAAAUAUUGGCGAGAGACCGAUAGCGAMCAAGUACCGUGAGGGAAAGAUGAAAAGAACUUUGGAAAGAGAGUUAAMCAGUACGUGAAAUUGCUGAAAGGGAAACGCUUGAAGUCAGUCGCGUYGUCCAGGGAUCAACCUUGCUUUUGCUUGGUGCACUUUCUGGUUGACGGGUCAGCAUCAAUUUUGACCAUUGGAAAAAGAUUAAGGGAAUGUGACAUCUUUGGAUGUGUUAUAGCCCUUGGUUGCAUACGAUGGUUGGGAUUGAGGAACUCAGCACGCCGCAAGSCCGGGU